rnacentral:rRNA from 1 species
UGUUCAACGGCCGCGGUACCCUGACCGUGCAAAGGUAGCAUAAUACUUGCCUUAUAAUUGAAGGCUGGAAUGAAUGGUUUGACAAGAAUGUAGCUGUCUCAUUAUAAUUUAAUAGAAUUUUAUUUUAGGAUGAAAAAGUCCUAGUUGAAUUAAAAGACAAGAAGACCCUAUCGAGCUUGAAGUUAAUUGAUAAAAAAUUAAUACUUAUAAGAAUUGUUAUCAAAAAUUUUGGUUGGGGCAACUAAGGAGCAAAAAAAGCCUCUUUUUAAAUAUUAUACACACUAGUAAGGAUCCAAUAAUUUUGAUCAAAGAAAAUAGUUACCGUAGGGAUAACAGCAUUAUCUUUUUUGAGAGCCCUUAUCGAAAAAAAGGUUUGUGACCUCGAUGUUGGACCAGAAUAUCCUAAAGAUGCAGAAGUCUUUAAGGGUUGGUCUGGUCGACCAUU